rnacentral:lncRNA from 1 species
UGGCAAUUUUUAACUAUGUUACCAACGAAAGUGCAGCCAACACCCUAAAAUUUUGGGCAUUGAGUGUCUUGACAGACGACAGCGUUAACCCCGAUUAAUUGCGCACUUAAUCAGAUCCAAAUUUAUAGGUGACAGACACCAGCGAUGCGAGUUAGCGAAUAGCUGAUUGGCAUAUUAAUAACAUUUUCAAUUUGAUAAAACAAAAAUGGAUAGAAGACAAGCAUUGCGAUUGUUAGCCGCACAGAUGAUGCAAAACCACAAUUUGUUAAACAAAAGUAUAAAUACGUUACUAUUAAAACUGCUUCAAAAGAUUAAAUUGAUGAAUGAAAUGACAAAAGCGAUACUGGAAACUAGUACCGAAGUGGUGUCUUCAGAAAUAAGGGAAAGAAGCGCCUGGAAAUUUGUAAGUUUAAUAUAUAUAUUUUAUAUUGAAUGUUAAUAUUUUAUACCCCUCAUUUAUAUAUGUUAUUAAUAAAAUGACCGCAAUGGCAGUUUUUGGGAGUACGAUGUCAAAAAGAUGGAUGACAUCCGAUUUAAAGAAAACUUUCGUGUAAAUAGAGAAGCUUUUCACAAAGCAUGUGAAAAAGUUAAGGAAAUCGGAAAGUCCAACAACAACAUGCCACUUUGCAUUCCACUUCAGAAAAUAGUGGCUAUUGCGUUGUAUGCGUUAGGUUCUUCAGCAGAAUACAGAACUGUAGCAAGUUUAUUUGGCGUAGGGCGCACCACAGUUGGGGAAAUAGUUGUGAAUUUCUGCAAAGCUGUGUGUAAAAAUUUAUCGGAUUGCAUCAAUUCCUAUAUCCCAAGCACAGAAGAAGUAGAGCGAAAUGUACAAGGUUUUGUACACCUUGAUUUUCAGCAAUGUUGAGGUUCAGCCGAAAAAAGAAGAUGCGAUCGAUUAUUACAAUUAUAAGGGGUGGUAUUCGGUUGUUCUGCUGGCAAGUUGCGACUAUAGAUCAAAAUUUACAUAUAUACAUGUUGGGUAAACUGGAAGAAAUAACGAUUCUUAGAUUUUUGAAGGUUGCUCCUUAAAGAAAAUUCAUGAAACCGCUGAUGUUUUUGCUCAGAGCAUCAAAAUGAUUGGAGAUGUUAACGUCCCCGUAUUACUUAUUGGCGAUUCAGCCUUUCGAUCAAAUCAACCAGUGUAAAAAAAAACAUUUAACUAUCGUUUAUCCAAAUGUCGCAGAGUUAUAGAGAAUGCUUUCGGUCAACUAAAAGCCCGAUUUAGAAAAAUUGGCAGAGGUUUACCGGUAGCUCCAAAAAACGUUAACGUUAUUAUACAUGCAUGCUGUAUAUUGCACAAUUUUCUAAAAAAUUAAAAUGAUGAAAUUCCUUCUUCGUGGAUCCAAGAUGCUGCAGAAAUAAUUACAGAAAUUCAACCACAUCACAAUACAAGAGCUGGGGAAAUUGAUGUAACAGCAUCGGCUAUUAGAAAUGCAAUAGCUCUGAGUUUUCAUGAAGGUUAUGGUGCGGCAUCGGACAUGAUGGUGAUGGUGAUGGAACUGAGGGUGGCAGCGGACAUGAUUGUGAUGGCAGCGGAUAUGAUGGCGAUGGCAACGGAGGUGAUAAUGAUGAGUCGGACGGCGGCAACAAUUGAGUUAAUGUUGAAUUCUAAAAAAAAUUAACUUUAUAAAUGCAUGUAUUUAUAUAAAUAAAAUAAAUUAGUUUUUUACCUCUA